AUGGCUUUGGUGCAAGAAGUUCUGAAGGAACUUGGUGGUGAGCUGAUCGAGAUCCUGCCGCCGGCAAGCCACCGCGAGCUCAAGGUAUUGGCUUGGCUUCGUGACCCAUUCUUUGUUGGCAAGGUGGUGAAAGUUGAGUUACCUGAGCCGAAGGUGAUAAACAAGCCACCCGAGUCCAUGGAUGAGUAUGAAGCAAUGCAAUUGGAAUUGGGUGACUACGGACCAUCAUCGCCGAGGAAGAAGAAAACGCUACUGUAUCCAGUUUUGUGUCGUAUGAAGGAGGUUGUCGAUCGUGCUCCUCUGCUCACUGAAGACUUGCCGGCUGAGUAG
rnacentral:rRNA from 1 species